AUGCCAUUGAGGAUUUAUCUACAGUGAAAAAGGAGGACUUAAUGUGACUAGGCCCAGAAGACUGAGUGGGCUUGAAACUGGAAUUAGUAGACCGAAAGUGGAUAGCGGAACUCACUUUGAAAUCCAGCACAUUAGAAGUUCCUACCAUCAUCCCGUUGUGAAAUCAACUCUAAGCACUAGAUUUUUGGAUGAGCAAUUCUCGUUCUAUCUCAUAUGCUAAAUUCAUGAUAUAACCAAUCGCUGUCGUUUCAUGCGAGCGAAUCUUCAAUCUAAUCUCUAGUGUCAAACCAUUCAAGAAAAAACCAAUGUAAUGUGAACCAAUAAUUCCUGUUACUUGGGAAGUUCGAGUCACAAAGAGAUGAAUAUAAUCCUCCACUGAACCUUCUUGUUGGAGUGCUGCGAGCCAUUCAAAGGGACUGGCAAUAACAUCCCCACCAUAAUAUUGGAAUAAUUCCAAAGAAAACCUCUCCCAAGUCAUUUGGGG
rnacentral:misc_RNA from 1 species